UUUUCUUUGUUUCUUUUCCCGACUCUCUCUCUCUUUCCUCCCUCGACGAACCAAAGAAUCCGGAUUUCACCCACCGUCUCCCUCUUUCUCGCAUCACAGCGACUGCUUCCGAGAUGUUCAAUUGAUCAUCUUCUUCUUUGGUUUCUCUUAUCGUAAUGAGAAAGCUAUUUAAAUAGUUUUUGAUAGCUUUGUUGUAGGAUUUUGCUUUGUCUCUUAUGUUUUUUUUUUUGGUUUGGUUGAAAUUAAGAGUUAGAUUGUGGAAUUGGUAUGAUGUGGUAUGUGUUAGGCUUAAAGAGUGGAAAGCUAGAAUUUUUUGGGUUGGAUCUGGUUGAUGCAAUUAGGUUCUGUUGCUUGUUGAUUGGAACUUGGUCUCUGUUAAUGUUUAAAAUUAGGUUUUCUGGUUUUUGUUACUUGAGAUUAUGUCCAAAAUCCCGAUCUUCUCAUGUAUAUGUAUUAUAGAUGGUGCUGCCCUUCUACUCUGACUUCUUAUCAAAGCUAGAAGUCCUUUAGAUUUUCUGGAUUUCUGUAUAGUGUUGCUUAGAGCUGAUUUGUGUAAGUUGCUCUGAUAACCAAGGAAGAAAGGUUAUAGGGAAAUCCACUCUCACUGAUUCCUCGCUGCUGCUGGUAUCAUUGCCCAAUAGGGAAAUAGCUCCGAUACUGCUCCUUGUGUUGUGGUGGGGAAGAGAUCGAUGAUAUUGCUCUCUUCGCUGUUAAAGAACACAACAAACGAGAGAAUGUGUUUGUUGAGCUUGCUAGAGUGUUAAAGGCAACAGUUUCAAGAGUUCAAGAAUGUUAUCCCCUCCUUUACUAUUUCCGACCUUGGCUUGAAACCAGGUCGCACAUUUUAUUGGAUUAGCCGUGGUAUUGCGUACUAAGCCCAAUGCUUUGACUUCUAUUUUGCCUAAGCUGAGGGACAGACCCAUGUAUCAAGGCCAGGACAAGCUUCCCCUUAUUGUUUGGAUGAUGGCUCAGGUCCUUGUUCAUCGUAGACAAGUUCUGCAACGGUCCUUGUUCAGCGGAGACAGAACUUAUGCUUACAUGCAUCAAUAGUGUCAUGUCUGAUUUCGUUUUUUACAAUCGGGCUACACCGAGAGAUAUCAGGAACACUCUCCGUGGUGGCUGCAGCUCAUCUUUCACACGAGAUUGUUAACCAGAAAAUACUCCUAACUUAACAUCCUACACAUAACUAUGAAACAUGAACUUGACUUGAGUUUGGAUAUAUAGGAAACUUCAAUGUGAAGCAGCAUUGCCUUUGUUUUGGUCCUAGUGACAUGUGACUUGGUGUUGUUUUUUAAUGCAAGUUGUUGUUGUUCUAUAUA